AAAAAUAUGCACAAUUACAAAAAAUAGGGAUUUGCAGCACCACCUAUGGGCUGCGCCCUGAGUCAGCCACAAAAAUUUUCACGUUUUUGGAGAGUCCAUACCCGAUAGACUAACACAAAUAAAAAUCAAUUUGGCUCACUCGUGGCACACAGAAAUAUUAGCAUUCGAAAACCUAAAUUUUGUGAUUUUGCCAUUUUGGCUCAUUUUGACCCCAAAUUUCCAGGACCCCCUAAACAAAAUAAAAGAAAAUCAAAAGAAAGAAAAGGC